rnacentral:tRNA from 1 species
GGUGGCUUAGUGGUAGAGUGCUUGCCUACCAUGCAUGAAGCCCUGGGUUCAAUUCCCCAGUACCA